AACGUAGGAGGCAAGCGUUAUCCGGAUUUAUUGGGCGUAAAGCGUGUGCAGGCGGUUUGGCAAGUUGGAUGUGAAAGCUCCCGGCUUAACUGGGAGAGGUCGUUCAAGACUGCCAGACUAGAGAAUGGAAGAGGGAGGUGGAAUUCCGGGUGUAGUGGUGAAAUGCGUAGAUAUCCGGAGGAACACCAGUGGCGAAAGCGGCCUCCUAGGCCAUUUCUGACGCUAAGACACGAAAGCUAGGGUAGCAAACGGG
rnacentral:rRNA from 1 species